GUCAGCGGCGGACGGGUGAGUAACACGUGGGUAACCUGCCUGUAAGACUGGGAUAACUCCGGGAAACCGGGGCUAAUACCGGAUGCUUGUUUGAUUCGCAUGGUUCAAACAUAAAAGGUGGCUUUUCGCUACCACUUACAGAUGGACCCGCGGCGCAUUAUCUAGUUGGUGGGGUAACGGCUCACCUAAGCGACGAUGCGUCCUCGACCUGAUGGGUGAUCGGCCACCCUGGGACUGAAACACGGCCCCUACUCCUACGGGAGGCAGCAAUAGGGAAUUUUCCGCAUUGGACGAAAGUCUGACGGACCCACCCCGUGUGAGUGAUGAAGGUUU
rnacentral:rRNA from 1 species